UCAACCUCGGAACCGCAUUUGAAACUGGCAGGCUAGAGUCUUGUAGAGGGGGGUAGAAUUUCAGGUGUAGCGGUGAAAUGCGUAGAGAUCUGAAGGAAUACCAGUGGCGAAGGCGGCCCCCUGGACAAAGACUGACGCUCAGAUGCGAAAGCGUGGGUAGCAAACAGGAUUAGAUACCCUGGUAGUCCACGCCGUAAACGCUGUCUACUUGGAGGUUGAGGUUUUAGACUUUGGCUUUCGGCGCUAACGCAUUAAGUAGACCGCCUGGGGAGUACGGCCGCAAGGUUAAAACUCAAAUGAAUUGACGGGGGCCCGCACAAGCGGUGGAGCAUGUGGUUUAAUUCGAUGCAACGCGAAGAACCUUACCUACUCUUGACAUCCAGCGAAGCCUUUAGAGAUAGAGGCGUGCCUUCGGGAGCGCUGAGACAGGUGCUGCAUGGCUGUCGUCAGCUCGUGUUGUGAAAUGUUGGGUUAAGUCCCGCAACGAGCGCAACCCUUAUCCUUGUUUGCCAGCACGUAAUGGUGGGAACUCCAGGGAGACUGCCGGUGAUAAACCGGAGGAAGGUGGGGACGACGUCAAGUCAUCAUGGCCCUUACGAGUAGGGCUACACACGUGCUACAAUGGCAGAUACAGAGGGCAGCGAGACAGCGAUGUUUAGCGAAUCCCUUAAAGUUUGUCGUAGUCCGGAUUGGAGUCUGCAACUCGACUCCAUGAAGUCGGAAUCGCUAGUAAUCGUGGAUCAGAAUGCCACGGUGAAUACGUUCCCGGGCCUUGCACACACCGCCCGU
rnacentral:rRNA from 1 species